rnacentral:rRNA from 1 species
UACGUAGGGGGGCAAGCGUUGUCCGGAUUUAUUGGGCGUAAAGAGCGUGUAGGCGGCCUGACAGGUCUGCUGUGAAAACUCGAGGCUCAACCUCGAGAUGUCGGCGGAAACCGUCUGGCUAGAGUCCGGAAGAGGAGAGUGGAAUUCCUGGUGUAGCGGUGAAAUGCGCAGAUAUCAGGAAGAACACCUAUGGCGAAGGCAGCUCUCUGGGACGGUACUGACGCUGAGGUGCGAAAGCGUGGGGAGCAAACAGG